rnacentral:rRNA from 1 species
CCUACGGGAGGCAGCAGUAAGGAAUAUUGGUCAAUGGACGAAAGUCUGAACCGGCCAUGCCGCGUGAAGGAUUAAGGCCCUCUGGGUUGUAAACUUCUUUUAUCUGGGACGAAAAAAGGGUAUUCUUACUCACUUGACGGUACCAGAGGAAUAAGCACCGGCUAACUCCGUGCCAGCAGCCGCGGUAAUACGGAGGGUGCAAGCGUUAUCCGGAUUUACUGGGUUUAAAGGGUGCGUAGGUGGGUUUGUAAGUCAGUGGUGAAAUCUCCGAGCUUAACUCGGAAACUGCCAUUGAUACUAUAGAUCUUGAAUUAUCUGGAGGUAAGCGGAAUAUGUCAUGUAGCGGUGAAAUGCUUAGAUAUGACAUAGAACACCAAUUGCGAAGGCAGCUUACUACGGAUAUAUUGACACUGAGGCACGAAAGCGUGGGGAUCAAACAGGAUUAGAUACCCUGGUAGUCCACGCCCUAAACGAUGGAUACUCGACAUCAGCGAUACACUGUUGGUGUCUGAGCGAAAGCAUUAAGUAUCCACCUGGGAAGUACGAUCGCAAGAUUGAAACUCAAAGGAAUUGAGG